ensembl:lncRNA
AGAGCGGAGCGGAGGGCGUCGGGAUUGGACGCAGCAGGGGAUCCCCGUUUCUGCCUUGCUGGCGCAUCAUCAUCUUUUACUGUCGGCGGAAAGCAGGGGGAGGAGAUGAGCUCAGGUCUGCACAAGCACCGAGCAAUUUCGGACAACAGCUUCGUAUUAGACUAACACAUCUGCCCGGUCACUUCUCUGCUCCGUGUCACACUGGCAACUGGAACCUGGACAGUGCGAUGGGGGAAGGCGGGAACAAAUGACGCUUUAGAAGAGGUUUGCAAACAUCAACAACUCCGCUGAUGUCGAUGAGCGACGCGGCCAUUAACAACCUGUUUCAGUGAGGACACGGGACGUGUGCGUGUGUGUGUUGUUGCUGAAGUGUAGGAGCGCGCGCCGCAUGUUCGGUCCAGCGGACUGCCAAUCGCUCGCUUGCCUCCGGGCGCUCCGCGUGUUCCGCUCCGUCAGCGCGCGCCGAGCCGUGGACGCAAGCCUCGAGACCGGCGAGAUACGCGCCAAAUUCACUUCACCACUUCACCAGACCCCCGGAGAGAGCCCGCACGUGUGCUCGCCGACACCAAAAGGAGACGGACGACAGACCGGCUUGGAGCAGCUGCUCCUCCGGGUCUCCAGCAGCUGGCUGGUCCCUCUCUGAACCGGGAGGACGGUGAAGUGGUCCCCGGACCUCCGGAGAGAAGUUUGGAGAAGGUUUAACGGAAGGACGAGGAGCACCGGCCAGGGUUGUUUCUUGCUGUGUGAACCAGAACGUGACCUGUGAUGCCCUAACCCCCGGCCGUCUUCUGCAUCGCUACACCCCCUACAGCACAGCCCGAGCAGAGGGGCCAUCGGCCGGACCGCCUGGCACACUGAUCUAGGGGCCAAACGGACACUCCGGUACGGUCUGCAGAUCCUGAGUCUGCCCCCCCCCCCCCCCCCCCCCGGGUGA